GACGAACGCUGGCGGCGUGCCUAAUACAUGCAAGUCGAACGCUUCUUUCCUCCCGAGUGCUUGCACUCAAUUGGAAAGAGGAGUGGCGGACGGGUGAGUAACACGUGGGUAACCUACCCAUCAGCGGGGGAUGACACUUGGAAACAGGUGCUAAUACCGCAUAACAGUUUAUACCGCAUGGCAUAAGAGUGAAAGGCGCUUUCGGGUGUCGCUGAUGGAUGGACCCGCGGUGCAUUAGCUAGUUGGUGAGGUAACGGCUCACCAAGGCAACGAUGCAUAGCCGACCUGAGAGGGUGAUCGGCCACACUGGGACUGAGACACGGCCCAGACUCCUACGGGAGGCAGCAGUAGGGAAUCUUCGGCAAUGGACGAAAGUCUGACCGAGCAACGCCGCGUGAGUGAAGAAGGUUUUCGGAUCGUAAAACUCUGUUGUUAGAGAAGAACAAGGACGUUAGUAACUGAACGUCCCCUGACGGUAUCUAACCAGAAAGCCACGGCUAACUACGUG
rnacentral:rRNA from 1 species